UACAGAGGGUGCAAACGUUGUUCGGAAUUACUGGGCGUAAAGCGCGUGUAGGCUGCCCCGCAAGUCGGAUGUGAAAGCCCUGGGCUCAACCUAGGAAGUGCAUUCGAAACUGCGGGGCUGGAGUCCUGGAGAGGAAGGCGAAAUUCUCGGUGUAGAGGUGAAAUUCGUAGAUAUCGAGAGGAACACCGGUGGCGAAGGCGGCCUUCUGGACAGUGACUGACGCUGAGACGCGAAAGCGUGGGGAGCAAACAGG
rnacentral:rRNA from 1 species